GAACAAUGAGACAGCAUACUUCCGCUUACCCUGUGCACUCCUGUGCCUGAGAGAAGGUCAGAUUCCUACUGUUUGCAGCCCUCUUCUAUGCUAAUGCGAGGGCAGGGAGAGCAAAAAGGAUCCGAGGAAGUUUUUACCAAGCUAAGCUCCUCGGUCCAACUCACCACGUGGCAGCACAAGCAAUUGCACCACUUCAAAAGACAGGGUGAUGCAAGCAAGCAGGCAGUGAGCAAGGGGAGGGAGGGCACGGCUGCUCCUCCUGGCAGAAGCGAUGGCUUAAAGGGAUCAUUCAACUAUGACCUUUUAUUUCAGACAUGGAAGUCUCCCAGUUAAAGUCUGAUUCACCAUGAGCAAGAGCCUGCCUGUGACUUCGUACCUCUUUGUAGAUUGAUAUUAAUGUUUACAUGAAUGUAAAAUGGGAUUAAAAAAAUUCCACUGGGCA